UUAGCAUUUUCCUACUAUUUAUCUCAAUUAUCUUUUCUCUUUUUUUACAUUUAACUGCAUAAAAUAGUUUGUUUACAGAUAUAAAAAAAAACGGAAGUAGGAAGUGAUGUCAUUUUCCAUCUGGCCCCUAAUUUGAAAACUUUCUAGGAAAUUCCCUGUUGACAGACCUCCAAUAAACCCCAGUUGUGCCUUCGUGGUGAGAACAGCACAGCAUAAAGUCGGAGAAGAUGGCUGCAUGGGGAAAAAAAACAUAAACGAAGACAAGGAGACAUCGUGUUGGUAUCUUCCAUGAAGUCGUCUCUCAGUGUGGAAUAAAGCCAGCCUUUGGUGAAGACUGUGUUCCUGAUAGCUCUGAGCGACAUCUCUGUCCCCUGCUAAGAUAUAAAAAUGCCUCAGCCUCGGCAGCAGCAGCAGCGGCGGCGCAGAGAUCACAUGCAGAUGACUUGCGGCGCUGCCAUUGGCUGCAGCCGGCAGGUAAUUCGCAUGCCGGUUGCCCUUUUAAGGCAACCGCUGUAAA